rnacentral:lncRNA from 1 species
GUCACCAUCACCGCCACCGCGACAGCCACAACCCCCUUUCACCACCACAACCUUUCACCACCGUCAUCACACCGCCACCUCCCAUCACUCCUCUCUCUUUCUCUUUCUCUCUAGAUGGGUUUCUGUUGCAAGCUCUCUGGCGGCUCUAGGGUUACAAAACCUCCCACUCUUAUCAAUUUUGGGAAUCUGGUCUUUAGAAACACACGAAACCGAGUCCUCUAA